rnacentral:rRNA from 1 species
AGCAGUAGCCGCGGUAAUACGGAGGAUCCAAGCGUUAUCCGGAUUUAUUGGGUUUAAAGGGUGCGUAGGUGGCCUGUUAAGUCAGGGGUGAAAGACGGUAGCUCAACUAUCGCAGUGCCCUUGAUACUGAUGGGCUUGAAUGAACUAGAGGUAGGCGGAAUGUGACAAGUAGCGGUGAAAUGCAUAGAUAUGUCACAGAACACCAAUUGCGAAGGCAGCUUACUAUGGUUUGAUUGACGCUGAGGUGCGAAAGCGUGAGGAGCAAACAGGAUUAGAUACCCCCGUAGUCCCUGUCUCUUAUAC